AACCUGUGGCUCCGGAGUGUACAACCACGUGUACAACCAAGUGUACAACCACGGAGGUCACUCUACAAUGUAUCACCAAGCAGUCAAGAUAUAAUAGUUCAUCUAAAAGAUUAAAUGGUGGGUUCCAGAAAAUCUUUACAGAUGUUGAGUGCUCGAUGUGACGUAUGCAUUGUAUUCAUGAUUGCUUUCAAAAUCCUUAAAGUCCACCGAAGUAUCUUCAAUAUUAACAGUUUUGUUUGAUGUC